AUUUAAGUUAUUAACCUUUCAUCUUACUUUGCCUGUAUAUUUCCGCAAGCCUGGAUGACUUUGCACCUUUUGCAUUUGCAUUCUUUACCUUACCCUCAACAUUAUUUUAAAUUUUAAAUUUAGAUUUAAUUUAAAUUUUUUAUUUGAGUUAUUGAGUUAUUUUUGCAAACAAAAAUGCUGACCAGAUUGUCAGUCCACUACAAUGAGCUGAUGACAGUAUUAGCCUUGGUCUACUGUGAAAAGCGUUUUGGUGGUAAGGUGGACCAAUACAUUUCAUCAAUUUAUUUCAAGUUCUCAAAUCUACUUUUUAAUCUGAUCAUUUUAGAUUUUGUUUAAAGUUUCAGUUUCAUAUCAUUUAAUUUUAUUUAUUAUUAUAAUUAUUUAUUAUUCUAUAAUUUUCUUUUUUUUCUACAUGAGAGGGCCCACAUUUCACUGCAGUUAGCUUUAAAAAAUACUACAAUGCCAUAUUUAAUUCAUAAGCCUUUCACCUUACUUUGCCUGUAUAUUUCCACAAGCCUGGAUAACUUUUAAUUAUUUGCAUUUGCAUUCUUUACCUCACCCUUCACAUUAUUUUACAUUUAUUCUAUACUUGUUGUUUUUCACAUUUAUGUUGUUAUACUGCUGACCGAUUUUAGUAACUAUUUUUUUUAUAACUCUCAAGUCACCAUUUUCAUAUUUUUUUUUAUGUGUAGGUAUAAUAAAGGUUUUUCAGCUGUGCAAGCUUAGUCUUAGGCUAACCUAAACCCUUAAAAACACGCAUAACAGUCCUGUAUCAGACUUUGAAGUCAAAUUUCAAGGUCUGUCUUUAAAGCCCACAACACAGGACUUGGCUCAAUGGGCCAUGACAAAUUUUAUGAGCCAACUUUUGAGGCUUAGUAAUCCGAAAACACAAGAAAAGAGGUGAAUGUGGGUCCAGGGCUGCUGGAGUUUGAAUCCAGUAAAUAAAGGGGUGUUAGCCUCAGUCUAACCACCAUGUGAAGAGCCUUUAAUGAUUGGGCUGAACAAUAUUACAAACCACUAAAAUCUUGAUACCUUUCUUUCACUUACCCCACCCAACUUCACACGACUCUCUUAGUGUGCAUGGGUAGUACACUAGAGCAAAUCUAAGUUUCCAUUUGUUUGGCUAUGUUUUUGUUAAUCUUUUUUUUUUUCAGUCGUAUCUUCCAUCUUUGACCAAACCUCCAUUAGCACUGACUAGCUUCUAAGCUGAAGAAAUGAUCAAACUGAAAUAGAAAAAGAAAUAACCACAUCACUUUGGACAACUCAAGACACAGUCUACCUGCUGUUGGUCAGAGGUGAAUCAGAGAUGACAUCCUCCACACUGUCUCUCUGCUGCUCUCAACAACCAUCCUACACUGUGCUGGAGCUGAACAGAGACUGCAGCACUCACCAGGACCCUGGUGAGUCCUCUUAUCUCAUGGACUUGACAAACAUGUGUUUUACCUGCUAUUGCUCCAGAUGUACUGAAGCAGCUCUCAAUGACCACCAGACACCAGGCUGGAGCAGAACUGAUGCUGUAGCACCUGUCACUCAGUGGGCUCUUCUCUGCUGGACCUCCCAGAAAUAUGCCCUUCCUCAACAAAGCCUGAGGUAAUGUCUUAGUGAACUUGUGUUCAUUUAUUUAUUCUUGGUAAUCUUAGCUGCUGUAUUAUUGCUUGCGACUUCAUUGUACAGCUCUGCUGAUAACAUCGUCGUUAACAUUAGUGAUUUCUGUCAGAUCUUCUUCAAGCCGGCUAUGGAGGAAGAACAGCUCAGACACUCGGGCAGCUGAAAUCGCUUAAAGUGGACAUCAUGCAGCCAUCCAAAAGGCUCUCUGUGUGAGGAAACCUUGCUGCAUGCAGACCACGUGAAGUGGCUCUGGACAGAAAUAUUUGUUCAAUUGUAUUGGUAUUCAUUGUAAUGGUGUGUAUAUUUCUUGAACAUGUUUGGUUUUGUAUAUUAUCAACACAAAUGUUUCGGUUUAUUUCCUAUUUUGAACCAGCUACAUUCUCCUACUUCAAAUCACUGUCUGUUUAUCCACAGUGUAGCCAGUGCAGAUGGUGAUCCUACAAGUCCUGCAGUCCUGUGAAGCAAGCUGCAGCAAAUGUCAACACAUUCAGAUCAUCAGUUUAACCUCGCUACAGCUUUAAACUUUCCCUGAGGUAACCGUGUAUUUCCUUGCCCCAUAACAAUAAUCAUGUUUGACCAACAUAGAAAAGCACAGUACUACUGUUAGCACUGGAUUUUUGUAUUGAUUACACUGUUAAAGUAAAGGGGAUUUUUCUUUGUUUUGUUUUUUCAGGCCUCUCCUCCUGCUGCCUCUGACUCCAGUCAUGCUGUCAACUCGAACACUGAUAACUGCACACAGUGAUUCUACAACUACAGGUCAAAGGUCAAAACCGUCCCAACUUUAAACCUUCACUCUGAACUGUACCGGGCUCUGCUUUUGGUUUUGAAAAAAGUGCCCAAACAGAACACAGUACUCACAUGAGGAACUGACUGAUUGUCUUUAGGACAGGACAACUAUUACUGUUGUAUUGUUUUGAAUCCUGUUGUCCACAUUGUGUGAUCCACUGUAUCUGUUGUUAUUUCAAGUUUCCUUUGUGUUUCUUUAACUUGAUUUUUUUUUUUUGUGUUUUCUUUCCCUUUUACCAUGUAUCUGUCCUCAUAUCAAAAGAUGACUGACAAUGAUGAAGGGAAAAAAAACUGUUCCUUCAGUUGUUGCAGGCAGCUAAACUUUCCUCAUGUUAUAAUAUGCUUACCGUAUUUCCCCAAUUUACCUACAAGAGACGACAUGUUUUUAGAAACAAAAUAUGUACUUUGGGUUUCAGCUGGUAGGUACACUGAAGGUUUUUCACAUGUGCUUAGUCUUGGGCUAAUAUUUUGGACAGCAGUGAUCUAAGCAUUACAGUGUCAAACAAGUUCUGCUGAAGGUUUGUCUUCAAAAUGCUCAAAACACAGGACUUGGUUAAAACGAGCUGUGUGAACUAAGUUAUUAACAGUCCUGUAUCAUACUUUGAAAUCAAAUUUCAAGGUCUGUCUUUAAAGCCCACAACACAGGACUUGGCUUAAGGAGCCAUGACAAAUUUUAUGACACUUAGAAAAGAAAAGAGGUGAAUGUGGGUCCAGGGCUGCUGGAGUUUGAAUCCAGUGAGUAAUGGGGUGUUAGCCUCAGUCUAACCACCAUGUGAAGAGCCUUUAAUGAUUGGGCGGAAGAAUAUUAGAAACCACUGAAAUUGUGAUACCUUUGUUCAUCAAGAAUCACAGCAACUACAAUAUUGAAACCUCAAGCUUAAAACACACACUGGUCACCCAUGCAAAGAUUUUUGUCGUUUGGUCUUGUUUUUUUUUUAUUAAUAUUAUCAUCAGGGUUAGCUAUCUAAAGGCACCUGUAUUCCUAGGGAGAAAUUAAGUAAGAAAACCAGAACUUAACAAAAGAGCAAAAACAAAGACUCAAGCAAAGAGUUUACAAAAGGAAAGAGUAAACUUUAAAGACUUAAAAUAAAGAAACUCAAAUUAUGGCAAAACAGCCAACACAGCAGCCUGGUAUCAGGGGCAGCGGUGAGGACGGGCUGGGCACUGCAAAACAAACAAAUAAAUCAAUAAAUCUGUCAUGGAAACAUGCCACUUAAAUUAGUAUUUUAAAUGUAACACUACCUACCGAAAGAAAGGGCUCAGCAAGCCAGCAACCCAGGGCUCCGCAGGUGAUGGCUGAGAGAGA
rnacentral:lncRNA from 1 species